CGCGGCCUAUCAGCUUGUUGGCGGGGUAACGGCCCACCAAGGCGACGACGGGUAGCUGGUCUGAGAGGACGGCCAGCCACACUGGGACUGAGACACGGCCCAGACUCCUACGGGAGGCAGCAGUGGGGAAUCUUGCGCAAUGGGCGAAAGCCUGACGCAGCGACGCCGCGUGGGGGAUGAGGGCCCUCGGGUUGUAAACCCCUUUCGGCAGGGACGAAGCGAAAGUGACGGUACCUGCAGAAGAAGCUCCGGCUAACUACGUGCCAGCAGCCGCGGUAAGACGUAGGGAGCGAGCGUUGUCCGGAUUUAUUGGGCGUAAAGCGCGCGUAGGCGGCCGUGCAAGUCGGUUGUGAAAUUCCGGGGCUCAACCCCGGGACUGCGUCCGAUACUGUGCGGCUCGAGGCAGGCAGGGGAGAGUGGAAUUCCCGGUGUAGCGGUGAUAUGCGCAGAUAUCGGGAGGAACACCGGUGGCGAAGGCGGCUCUCUGGGCCUGUCCUGACGCUCAGGCGCGAAAGCUAGGGGAGCGAACAGGAUUAGAUACCCUGGUAGUCCUAGCCGUAAACGUUGGGCGCUAGGUGUGGGGAGAUAUCGACCCUUUCCGUGCCGAAGCUAACGCAUUAAGCGCCCCGCCUGGGGAGUACGG
rnacentral:rRNA from 1 species